UACGAAGGGGGCUAGCGUUGCUCGGAAUUACUGGGCGUAAAGCGCACGUAGGCGGCUUCUUAAGUCGGUGGUGAAAUCCUGGAGCUCAACUCCAGAACUGCCUUCGAUACUGGGAGCUCGAGUCCGGGAGAGGUGAGUGGAACUGCGAGUGUAGAGGUGAAAUUCGUAGAUAUUCGCAAGAACACCAGUGGCGAAGGCGGCUCACUGGCCCGGUACUGACGCUGAGACGCGAAAGCGUGGGGAGCGAACGA
rnacentral:rRNA from 1 species